UUCAAAACUAUCAUAUUGGGAAGAAUAUUAAGAGCUUUAGGACAAGAAAAAAUAGUGAUACAUCUAGGCAGAAGCAUCACAGUAACACCUGGAAGUCACAUGGAAUUCUAAUAUCAAUCCCAUGCAUUCUAUGCUCUAUUCACAUCCUCACAUGUUCAUUCCGUAACACAGUCAACCAGUGAUUUUCUAGUCCCUGCAGUCUCUGAGGAGCAAGGGUCUGGAUCAACCUUUCCCAUUUGCUUAUGAUGUUCCAAGACACAUCACUGCACCACUGAUGGCCUCCAGUUAGAGCGAUUUAUCCUGUUGUAAUAUUCGCUUGACCGCACAAUGUCCUAAGCACCCCUUUCCCUUUCCAUUCAUGUUGCUCCUUCCAGAAUCCCUUAUCUCGGCCCCUGACAGAGAGCAGAUAGCACUCUGGACUCAAAGGAAGAGAGUCGAUAGGGUUCCUCCUCAAUCAGAAAGCUUGGAUGAUCGCGCCGCUACUACAAAUACUGACAAGUGAGGCAGCUCCUGACUAGUCCGUGCAGACCUCGCGACUGCAACGUGCAGACCUCGCUAUUGCCCCACGCAGACCUCGUGACUGCCCCAGCAGACCUUGUCACUACCCCGUGCAGACAUCGAGACUGCCCCUUGGAAACCUCGCAACUGCCCCAUGCAGACCUUGCGACUUCCCCGUGGAGACUUCGCAUGUGCCCGGUGCAGACCUCGCAACUGGUCCGUGCAGACCUCGCUACUGCCCCGUGCUAACUCGAGGACAGCCCCUAUCCAACUUUGUUUCCUGAGAUCAAGGUUCACUCGAGAUUCCCCUGCUUUUCUUUCUGGACUUGUCCACAGUUCUCGGGAGAGAGACCCAUACUCAAAGGAUACAGCUCAACUGAUGUUCACCAAGACUCACCUCUGGGCAAGUACAUUCACUGCCCCUUACGUGGUAAUAGCCCAUUCACGAUUUCUUGUUCAAUUUUCUUAACGACUAAACAGCCAGAUGUGUGGAGAGAGGCCAGCGAGCCUCAUCCGGGACUUUACCCUCUGACCAUGCACUGCCGAUUUCCCAGCCUCCACAGCCUGGAAGCCCCUUCAUUGUCCCCCCAAGCAGAUUAUAACACCGGACUCCAAUGGGGGAAGCACUUGAAGGGUUCCCAGCCUACGCCACCUGAGACUGCCUUCAGUGUCCCCGAACCAGAUUACAACAUCACUCCUCAAUGGGGGAAGCACUUGAAUAGCAGAGACCCGAGCAAGUUUGCACCUCCAGGACUACUUACAUGAACUCGGCACAAGUUCAGAUGCCCAAAACCCUAUGAAGACCAGAGAUUCAAAAAACCUGAUGCUCGUGUUACAGAAAACCUACAGAAACUCAAAGAUCAUAUAAAGGCUUCAGUCAGUAAGAGGGCCCUAGACCCCAAGAGGUAACUGACUGAGAACAAGAAAUGGACAGUUCCACUUCCUCUGAGGGUUCCUUGGGGCAUGAGUAAUCCACUGACCAAGGAUAGCAGAUCACUGAGUAACACACUGACCAGGGAUACCAGAAGAUCUGCUUUACAUCCUGCUACUAGAAAAAAGAGUGGCCUCAUCUCUAGUGCCCAUUCUUGGGAAGAUGAAAAAAAAAAGCGGGUUAUGUCUACUGGGUUUGAAAAAAUCUGGACUUUGACGAGUUGGUAGCCAGAGUGCCUGCAACAUCUACAAACCACAGUGCUGGAGAGAACAGUGAAAGUUUCAGAGAAAACCACACUGUACCUGGGCCACCUUCUGCUGACUCUUCUACUGACAAACUGGGCCAGGUAAUAUUCACACACAUUCCAGGUUCCCAACAUCAUUCCCUAUCUAGACAUGGAGAACUUGGAUCUCCCAUUUUUCCCCAAGAUGUUCCUAUCCACCCAGGACUUUCCGGAAAUAACCAAAUGUUUCCAAUAUUCAAUAGGGUUUUUCGACAUUUGUCCAGGUGUCCAAAAUUCUUCCCAUUGAUCCUUAACGGAAAAUCAUAUGUUCUCCUCUUCCAGAAGGAGUGUUUUUUUUUUCUUCUAUUUUCAUUAACUUGCAAAUUUAUUAUUUACAUUUCAAAUGUUAUUCCCUUUCUAGGUUAUAGGUUUACAUUUUCCUAGCUCUUCCCACUCAGCUUCUAUAGGGGUGUUCCUAACCCGAUCCACCCCCAUAUUACUUUCCUUCACUGGGGUUUUAGUCUUGGGAGGACCAAAGUCUUCCCCUUCCACUGGUGCCACUACUAGGCAUUCAGUGAUACCAAUGAUUUUGGAGUCCCGGGUUAGUUCAUGUAUAGUCUUUGGGUAGUAGCAUGUAACCACUAAUGAAGACAAGACAAUUCUCUAGAUUUAGAGAGAUGGAGUAUGUAAAGGUUUCCACUGUGUCACAAGAGACUCUCCUGGAAAAGGCACUCUUGAAACUGGUCAAUAUAAGGAAAGCUGUUCAGCAGGUAGGACAUGGAGGUUCUCAGUGACAUCAUCAUCAUUAGGUCCUUCCCGAAAAAUAUCUUGUAACCUGGAGAGCCCUAGCUCCUUCUGUGAGGUCAGAAGUGUUGUUGUGACACCACCUGCUUCUCAGAUAUUCCUUCAGUACAUCUAGGGUUUGUAACUGGCCUUUAAUUCAGAGUAAACAGCCAUUUUUUAGGGAGAGCAAAGAGGAUGAAAGGAUCCAAGAAGAGGAGAAGGAAGCUGCCCUUCUGUCAUGGUAUAAAAAAGGAAGAAAUACAUGGUCCACUGGAGAGCUCAGUGAAUCCUGGGAACCUAUUGAGGUUGAUGUUUAACUGGACCUCAAGCCAUUCCUCUCACUGCCCAUCCUCCUAAGUAUGAUGUAUGGCCUGAAGAAAUAAUCAUGGUGGGAACACAGCUUUUCUGAUGUCUCGAAAUUUUUGGAUAAACUAAGGAUUUGGAAGUUCAUCAUUGGAAAUAGGUACAUAAUAUUUACAUUUUUAUAUUCAACCUUAGGUGGGACCCUUGGGUUGCCAAAAUCAUUGCAAAAAAACAUGAAAUUGGAAAACAGAAUUUUUCACUUCACAUUCAGGAAUAUAUAAAGUCACCUAUCAAGGAAUGUACAAUGAGAAACUGUAAUGAAAUAUGAAUUCAAUUAAAGGAUUGUAGGGAAAAUGCUGGCCUUUGGGAAACAGAGAUAACCUAGGAUAUUGAACUGUAUGUCACAGUAAUGGACCUGGUAAUAAAAUUAUUAUCCAGAGGAAUCUCUUCCACUCCAUGUUCCGAGAUCUUUUCUACCCAUGCAAAGCUCCUGAUUAUCUUUUCCUUUCAGAGCAUGUAACCACUAAGGAAAUAAAGAGAAGUUUCUAGCUUUAAAGACAUGUAGUAUGAAAAGGUUUCCAUUGUUUCACAGGAGACAAACCUUGCAAGGGCACCCUCGAAUCUGGUCAUUGAAAGGAAAACACUUUAGCAGGUAGGCCAUGGCAAUUCUCAGUGACAUCACCAUUAGGCCUAUCUAAAAAAAUCUGUUGUAUCCUGGAGAUCCCUAGUUUCUUCUGUGAUGUAACAAGUGUUGUCCUGACAGAAGUUGCCUCUCCAGUAGUCCUUCAGUACCUCUAGGGUUUACUAUUUGGCCUCUAAUUCAGCAUAAACAGCCUUUGGGAAGGAGAAAAAAGAGGAUGAAGUGAUCAAAGAUGGGAAGAAGGAAGCUGGCCUUCUGCUUUGUUAUAAAAAAAAAAAAGAAAUAUGUGGU